CAGGUCACUAUGAAAGACAGCGAGAUGCCCAGACAUCUUUGAACUUGAUGUAUACAUGCAUUAAAAACUAAGUUUCCAGGCCUUUCACUCUUCUUCCUGGGUUGACUUUUGGGCCUCAGAGUCCUGCAGGGAGAUGUACUCCAUUACUCCUAAGACUGUGGUAGACACCGAUAGUCAUAUCCCGUUUCUGGAAGAAGUUUUAGUUGGGCAUGUGGCCACCCAGAAGACAUUUCCCAGCCUUCUUUGAAGAUGAGUGGGGACACGUGAGCAAGCUGUGGUCCCUCUCACCCUAAGCAGAAAUAAUGCAUCCAGCUUCCAGGUCGUGACCUUAAAAGGAGAGGGUGUGCCUUCCGCCCCCUCUCUUGCCCGUUCCCACUGGCUGCCAUGUGAAACUGCUUGGGAGCCACGCUUGUCCACAUGGGGUUGCUGAUGGGAGAGAGACGCAUUUCUGGUUGUGACUAGUCACACCGGCUGAAUCGGGGUCUGAGUUCCGGCACCCAGUCCCGAGCGGGCAGAAAUGACGAGAAGCACCAUCCCUGGGGCGGCGCUCUUGUGGUAAAGAUGUGAUCGAUCACCUCAUCUGGAGGAUAAAUGACAGCACUUUGGCUAUCACAGUGAUUCUUAUUUGGCAGUUGCCCAGGAGGAAGGAAAGGCGACCUAUGAUAGUCUCUGGGGCUCAGAUGUCUUCUCAGGCCAGGUGUCCCCUAGCAGAGCAAAGAACUGAAGAGGCAAGGGUCCUUUCCCCACCCCUGUCUGCUGCUCCCUUUUGUUUUUAUUUGAAGCAUUUCUCAAUAACAAAUGCAAAAUUAGGUUUGAAUAUAAAAAGCUAGAUGACCACCCCAGUGCAGGAUUGUGUAUCAUUAAGGAGGCCAGGCCCAGAAAGGAUGUGAAUUACCUCUCAUCUCCAAGGAUCUGUGACGGAAGUCAAAGAUCACACAUAAAAGUCAUCUGUGAUCUCUGAGCGAAAGGCACAGCCAGCAUAAACUCAGCUGCAGAAUGAGAGGAUCUGACCAGAUGGUCUGUCACGUCCCACCUAGCGGGGAAGGCUAGUUUCUACACUCAGAUCUUCCAUGCUGGAAGGACUUGCCCUCUCUGCUAAGGUGGAUGCAGGAAGGAAAGUCUAUCAUAUUGUGGAAUUGACCUCCUGAUAUAAAAAAUAACUAUUUUGGGAUUAAGGUAGGUCAAUAAAAUUCAAAUUGUUACCAUA